rnacentral:rRNA from 1 species
AGGACGAACGCUGGCGGCGUGCUUAACACAUGCAAGUCGAACGGAAAGGCCCUUCGGGGUACUCGAGUGGCGAACGGGUGAGUAACACGUGGGUGAUCUGCCCUGCACUUUGGGAUAAGCCUGGGAAACUGGGUCUAAUACCGGAUAGGACUACGGCCUGCAUGGGUUGUGGUGGAAAGCUUUUGCGGUGUGGGAUGGGCCCGCGGCCUAUCAGCUUGUUGGUGGGGUGAUGGCCUACCAAGGCGACGACGGGUAGCCGGCCUGAGAGGGUGACCGGCCACACUGGGACUGAGAUACGGCCCAGACUCCUACGGGAGGCAGCAGUGGGGAAUAUUGCACAAUGGGCGCAAGCCUGAUGCAGCGACGCCGCGUGGGGAUGACGGCCUUCGGGUUGUAAACCUCUUUCAGUAGGGACGAAGCGUAAGUGACGGUACCUAUAGAAGAAGCACCGGCCAACUACGUG